rnacentral:piRNA from 1 species
UAUAUUCUGGCUAUAUUUUGUUUGGGAA